UCUAAUCAACACCAGAUCAGAACUCAUUUCACGACCUCCAGUCUCUCAUCUUCAUCUUCAACCCCAAUUUUCAGUUUUUGUUCUUCCACCAGUUUUUGUUCAACCUCAUCAUUCUAAGCUUUGUCGGAGGGCUCGCCUGGGCCACCGACAAUGAUGCGCUGGAGAGGGCCUUUUCUCAGUUCGGUGAGAUCAUCGAAUUGAAGGGCCGUUUGACGCACUACUUGAUCUUCUGUUUCUCUAUGUUACUUGAUCUUUCUCUCCCAAAGAUUGAAGAUCGAUCGAUUCCUUUUCAUUUUUGUCUAUUAUUGUGUAUUUGUUUGAUUAUACUCAGGUGUUUUGGUUUUGGUGGACGGAUCUGAUUUGAUUUGGUUUCUUUUUGUGUUUCCAGAUCAUCAACGAUCGUGAGACCGGGAGGUCCAGGGGCUUCGGCUUCGGCUUCGUCACCUUCAGCAACGAGAAGGCCAUGAGGGACGCGAUCGAAGGCAUGAACGACCAGAACCUCGACGGUCGUAACACUGAGACCUACAUUAUUUUGUAGUGUGCCUCGGUUGUACAACAGAAUAUAUGCCGGGUAAUCAUAGUUGGCUGCUACAUUCCUAUAUAUCCACAGUUUGCAAGAUACAAUCGUUGGAUUUACAAGUAUGGAUUAUACAUCGAAAGAGCUUCCGGGAUCUGAAGAUGGUAGUCAUAUUUUUGAGGUUGAAGCAUUGCUCAGGAAUGCCAAAGUAUUGACUCCUAAAGAGGCACCUCAAAAAUUUGCUAAUAUUCAGUAGAUAAUCGUCGCGAUUAAUUCUCUCAUCAAGGGCUUCAGUGAGCGUCUUGUAAGUUGUAACUGCUAGUCGCCCUGCAAUAGGUCUCAUGUUCAAGCAGACAUUGGAUGUUCUCCUACAAGUACUUGUUGUGUUUCCUGAUGUAGAGACUUUGCGCAGUAAGGUAACAUCAUUUGUACACCGCAUGGUGGACACUCUAGGAGCAUAUGUUUUUCCCUACCUCCCAAAGGCACUGGAGCAAUUGCUUGUGGAUAGUGAGAUAUAAAGCAAGGUAUUUCCUUGGUGAAAUUGUAGACAAUUGGAGAUGGUUCCUGCAAAUGAUAUCGGAUGUCUUGCUGGGCUUUUUUGGGUUUUUUUUAUAUAAAA